GUUAGGAUAUAGAUCAUUGUCCACCCGUAGAUCACGGGAGUAUAAUAUCUUUGAUACUGUUCUUAUUAUAGGAUGAAGGUUCAUGUGAACUGUCUAUCUUGCAGUUAAUUAUACAAUAGAAUUCUUUUACAAGUUGUUAAUUUCUAGCUUUUGAAAUAUUGGUGUUAAAUGGAGGCCCCCAUUAUUCACCGAGUUUCGAUGAAGUUCUUACACCGAUCACGGGAAUGUAUAUUUGAUAAAGUUCUUGUUUCUCGCUACAGGAUGAAGGUUCAUGUGAACUGUCUAUGUUGCUGUUAGUGGAAUUCUUUUACAAGUAGUUAGUUUCUAGAUUUUGAAAUAUUGGUGUUAAGUGGAGAAGGGUAGAGAGGCGGGCCACUUUUGAACUAUACGCACUGUUUCUCGGGGAUUUCUCUGUUAUAAAAGAAAAAUAUUGGUGUUGACUGUAGAUAAGUUUCAUGUUACAGAUCAUUUAUUGAAGACUCAUGGGCUGGCAUAGAAAUAUCUGCUCAGAACAACAAUUUUCCAGGUCUGCGUGACAGUUUAUCUGGGAAUGAACUAUUGACCACCAAAUGGAAUUGGAGGGAGAUUUACAAAUAACUGAUAUCAGAACAAGGCCUAUUCCCCCAUUGUAUUAGGACACUAUCUUAUGCCCGAAGAUAGGAAUAAUUCUGUGACUAUUGGUGUUGCAGAUGAGCCUAUAGGGUUGGUGCUUGGGCGGAAGGAAUAUAAUGGAGAUCAGUCAGGUUUGUAAAGAAGUUGCAAUUAUUCCCUGCUUGCAUAUAUUUCAGUCUGUGCUUUCGUUGCAGCUUAGUCGGGCCAGAAUAAGGAUUUCAGAUAGGGUGUUUUGUGUCCGGUAUUUCUGACCUGUAUGACAUCCUGACAUUGUUUGUUUCGCUUAGCAGAUUGAGCUAUACAGAGUAAACAUGUUAAACAAAAUUUUUCACCUUUUGCUGGAAGGUGACUAUUAUUGGAUCCUAAAGAGCAAUCCGCAUGGCCGAGUCCAUGAUAUUUUGCGAAGUAGCAACCUUUUCUCUGAGAGAUGACAGGAAGCUCUACUCCAUGUUCAGAUGUUUUUGCAACAGUGAAACAAUCAGGCAGCCUCACCACUAUGCCUGUAAAAAAUGUUCUCUUCACCCAGCUUGAAAUGUCCAUGGUCGAAGCAGAUUUCUGAGUCCCAUUAGUGCAGGUAAUUAUUUACCUACUCCAGAGUUACCCGUUCUUGGUUUUGACUUUAGACCCUGCUCAGUAUCAAGCCGAGUGCAAUUGUGUAAGCAAAAACCGCGUGGAAGCCACGCCAUAAAUCUAUUGGGACCACAGAAUUUUACAAAGAUUUCUCUAUCCGACAAUGCACGGAAUACACCUUGAUGGUAAUCUCCACGACAAGCUCCUAUCCCGUUGCCUUUAAGUGGAACCUUUGAUAUAAGAGACUGCCAGUGCCAUUUUUGUUUCGGCUUCGGCAGUACCAUUCCCUUUGACUAGCACGUUCUCAUCAAUCAUUGCACACAGACCUCGUAGUGUACUGGAACCCGACAUGAUUCCGCAGUUGCAACUUGACUUAACAGCUUAGUGGUAUCUUUGCGGGACUUGCAUCAAACACCUGGUCUAUGGGACUGGAAAGUCCAUUUUCCAAAUCAUUGUCUGCAACUGAAAGCUCUUGAGCUUCGGCGAUUGCCCUGGAGUAAACAAGUUGGGCAUCAGAGGAUGAAAGUCAAUCGAGUUGUUGAACCAUACGAGAGUGAUUCUCCACCAGCCUCAAUGUGAAAUCAAGGAUGCUGAAGUGGGUGUUGAUCACGGUAGAAGCUUGGGGACGACAGUAAGCUAUGGACGAGCAAUAAAAAGCGCCAAUGUUUUAACACAUGAUAACCUGAGGAGAAGGGGAAUGUCAAUCUGCUCGAGGUGUUACUUAUGUGGCCAAGAGGUAGAGACAAUCAGCCAUCUGUUUCUACCUUGUAGAGUGACUAGUUAGUUGUGGGACUUAUUCAUCAACCUCAGAGGCAUUAGAUGGUAUUGACCAGGAAGAACAUCUGAACUAUUGUCAAGCUGGAAUGAAGGGGGGAAGUGCACUGCUUCCAACAAAAACAGAUGGAAAAUUGUCCCUGCAACUAUUUGGUGGACAAUAUGGAAGGAGAGGAAAGCAAGAUGUUUUGAGGAUUCAACUAGUUCUAUUCAGAAAAUUAAGAUGAAUUGUAUUCUUCUUUUUUGUUUUUGGUGUAAAGCAGAAUAUAGUGACGACUUAGAGUCAAUUCUACAGGUCCUAGAUUCCUUGUAAGAAGAGCAAUGAUUGUAAUAGGGAGCUUUGUAGGCUUUUGUAAACUCUUUCUUUUGGCUUCCAGCACUUCCUUUGUGCUGAAGA